GACGAACGCUGGCGGCGUGCUUAACACAUGCAAGUCGAGGGGGCCCAGCAAUGGGUCACCGGCGAACGGGUGCGUAACACGUGAGCGACCCUACCCCGGUAGUGGGGGAGUAGCCGGCCCGAACGGCCGGGUAAUACCGCAUACGCUCUUCGGGUUUCAUGGCCUGGAGAGGAAACUUUUCUGGUACUGGGAGGGGCUCGCGGCCUAUCAGCUAGUU
rnacentral:rRNA from 1 species